rnacentral:rRNA from 1 species
GUCUUUUUGAUUUUAAUUUAAGGUUUAACCUGCCCAUUGAAAUUUUUUAAAAGGCUGCGGUAUUUUGACCGUACAAAGGUAGCAUAAUCAUUAGUUUUUUAAUUGUAAACUUGUAUGAAUGGUUGAAUGAGAAAUUAACUUUUUUAAAAAAAUAAUUGAAUUUUACUUUUUAAUUAAAAGGUUAAAAUAAAUUUAAAAGACGAGAAGACCCUAUAGAGUUUUAUAAUUUUUAUUUAAUAUUUAAAAAGAUAAAUUAAAAUUUUAUAAAAAAAAUUAUUUUAUUGGGGUGAUAAUAAAAUUUGAUAAACUUUUAUUUUUUUUUACAUUAAUAUAUGGUUUUUUGAUCCAUUAUUAAUGAUUAAAAAUUUAAAUUACCUUAGGGAUAACAGCGUAAUUUUUUUUUAAAGUUCAUAUUAAUAAAAAAUUUUGCGACCUCGAUGUUGGAUUAAGAUUUAAUUUUAGGUGCAGCAGUUUAAAU